AAGAGCUGAACGUGUAAAGAAUGCGUGAAGGACAUGGACAUGGACAUGGACAUGGACAUGGACUUUGAUAGGGACUUGCAAAUAGUCAAUCCCAACAUAAGUCACGAUUAUGAUUACGACAGUACGAUACAGACAAAGCCAUACACGAUGGAAAUUGUGGUAAACAGCGUCCUACUAUACAUUGGAGUCUGUACCAACAUAUGGAUGAUCAGAUCUCUCUACAAAUCAUGGAAGACAGGCAGCAGGAUGCAUUUCUAUCUCCUUGCGAUUUGUGUUACUGACGUCCUGGGUUUGUGCAUCCGAUGCGGAGUCAGCAUCGGGAUGUAUGCAACCAUUGGAUGGAGAGGCGGAUAUUACGUAUGUAAAAUAUUUUCAGGCUUACAUAUGUUCGGAAUAACUAUGUCCCACCUUAUCCUGGCUGGAUUCAAUAUCGAUAAUCUUUUGACUAUCACCUGCAGUCGCUCCAUCAAGGCGUUGCGUAUCGUCUUCCUACUGUUAUCCUUCGUAACUACCUUCAUUAUCAGUGGCAUUAAGGUCUACUUCGCAGAUUUGGUGACCUGGGGAUACAAACACGAGGUCAAUUUAUGCAUUGUACGAGGUUUUGAUUUACUGCCACUGUUGGACACGGCGGUGUAUGUCCCACUUCCAUUUCUGAUAAUGUUACUUUUCGGUCUCCCAUCAUUGUUUGUGUGGUGCUAUAGAAACGGAACACUCAGCUGUGAGAAGAUGACAAGUGACAUUGACUCCCUUCAGUCCAUUGGCAGAGAAAUUGGAAUAGUGCUGGCUUAUGAUGUAGUUUUCUUCCUUCGCUGGGCUCCGUUCGUUGUAUAUGGGAUGUUUGGAUUACAGAGAGAGAAAUCCAGAUGUGAUGCAGGUCUCAGACGUUGUAAAAUCCACAGUUUGGUUCCUGAAGGAGGACACUUGAAUACUUCUUUGUUCCUGUUAGAUGGAGAUAGCGACAGAUUAGCCAUGGCUUUAUGUACACGAUUAGAUAUAGGAAUUGUUCGGUAACAGGUUUGAUACUUUUUUGUGUAAACCUCAGUAGUUAUACGGCCGAUUGCGUAAUUCAUCAUAUGUAGUUUUCUUCCAAAUAUCAUUCUAAUGUGUCAUAAAAAUAGCUGUUUUAUAUUAUACAAAACAGAGGCCAGUCAACAACCGUCUACACAGUUUUAAUCUUCCUGGAGACGGCAAACCCCUGUCUUAACCCGUUCAUAUAUGCCAUAUUCAACUGCAUUGGCAGACGGAGAGAAAAAACUUCUUCUGGACUGUAAAAGUCAAAAUAGUCACAAUCCCAAACAAUGACCGGAACGAAAAGACGACCGAUGUUUACAUCUCAAAUCUAUUUUCUCCUUGUGGAACGUCUUCUGUAACCAUGAUAUAUAUUUAUUUGGCAUGGACAUUACCUAUUGAGAUAUUCUACACACAUGUAUAUCUUUUUGUAUCAAUGAAGACGUUUGUGUUUUACAGAAAGCAGCCUUAAAAAAUGUAAAACCGCACUCAAUAUUCCAGCCAAGUUGAAUCCUCACUAGAUAAUCCAAUGAGCUACGAUGGCAAGCUUCAUCCAAGUCAGAUUACCCGAUCCCAUUUGUGAUCUCUUACGGAAUAGCUAAUGGCCUAUUCUAACACACUCUAAUACUGGCUUCAAUGAUAUUCGACUAUUAACUCAGUAUUCACAAUCCCAUGGAAUUCUCAGUGUGUUAUGAAACAAACAAUAAAUUGUACUUUGCAUUGUGACAGAAACAUGAUUUGGUGUCUUCCUACAAAUCUGCUUCACAUAGAUAUUCAUAUGUUUACCCUUUCAAACUAUCUGCAGUGUUUGUUGAUGAAAGAUGGCGGAGAUACUGGCCUGUGGAUCCUGGGCCAUCUUGCACAAAAACGGCUGCUUUUAUUGUAAAUACCCGUUCGUAAUAGGUCCCAUGUGUGAGUGUUUUUGACGUAUACAUGACAUGCCCCUUGCUCUCUGUAUAUUGUCUGUAUACUGAAACAUCUGCUGUAUGUCAGCAACGUAAGAUACUAUUAUAAUGUCUCCAUUCAACCUUACGACAAACAGUUAUACAUGUAUGUUCUGAUGCCAUUUUACUGUCUCUAACAACCGUUCUUGGCAAUACAUCUACACGCUUUUGUUUCCUAGCCUAAUUUUGGUAUACAUACCCUCUAUGAACAUAUUCAUCAAUAAAAAGCAGUGUUACACUGUUGAAAACACAUACAGUACAUAUGUUAGUAGCGACCACGUGUAGCAUACAGAUACUCGAAAAUCGGUGAUUGUAUUUCGUUUCAGUUAGCCUGUCAAACAGAUUUUAUCUUUCCAUUGAUAGUUAUAUAUUCUUCAAAGUUUUGUCAUUUUCUUUAAUUCAAGAAUAUGCAUGGUCAUGCUUUGUUGCAACUAUGAAUGCAGUUUUACAAAGGUGUCAGAAUUAUUUAUUUCUUUAUUUUGCUUCAAGUUCUUCUGAAAAAUAAACAUGCAUAGUUA